rnacentral:tRNA from 1 species
CCUUGAGUGGAUGAAGCGGGCGGGCAUCGCCGGCUUCCAGCUGGCCGACGUGAACCUGGGCGGCGGGCAGUCGGUCGAGCCGGCGGUCGAGUUC